GUGAUUUUGGAUUUAGGAAUGGGUUUUAUGUUGAAAUUUCCUUUUUGUGAUUUUGGAUUUAGAAAUGGAUUUUCAUUUGAAAUUUCUUUUUUCUUUUCUUCUUUUUUAUUUUUAUUGUUUGUCGAUGAGAUCCAAGGGCGGAGUCAGGAUGAGAAGAAGAUAUUGAGAGGUAAAGAUGGGACACCUAUCUGGGCAAUGUUGGGAUGUCUAGGCUUGGGUGGAGACGUAGACUUAUGAAACAGGUCAAUUAAGCAGAUAAGAUUCAAAAAGAAAACUCCACAUCUGUUGCCAGCAAUGCUCAUGGGGAGAAGUAUAGGAAACCGAAGCCUACAAAUUCGAAGCCUUUUAGGUUUAGAACUGAUGAAAGACGGAUGUUUAAGGUGAUUGGAGAAAAAAGCUCAUGCACCACUUAAGGAGAUCACCUUAGUCAGGACUCCAGGAGCAAAGUCAACAAGCAAACAUCAAAAUGUGAUACAAGUAUACUUGGGAGCUACAAAUGUUGUGUGUGUGGUUUGAAUUUGAACAAUUACAUUGUGUAUCACCGUCAUAUAGGCAAAUUUGUUAUGUGUGAUGGUGUAUUUACGCAUGACUGAAAUGGAUAAUCUAAUUUUAUGCAAUCUAUAAUAUUGGGUUUCUCUAAUUUUCUGCUUUUUUGUGAUUUAUUUGAUGAAAGUUUCAAUCUUCAGCAACAAGGAGAAAUGAGUCGGUCGGAGGACUCUGAAAGAUGAUUGUUGUUGUUGUUGCUAUAGAUAUGCUGGCGGAUCAUAUGGAGGGAGAGUUAAGCUUGGAUUGAGAAGUGGGAUAAUCCUCUGCAAUGCUAUCAAUAAAGUUCAAACUGGAGCUGUGCCCAAGUCAACAAAAAAUCUUCAUUGAAUACAUAAUGUUUGAUGGAGUGACUCAUGAAAAGCAGCGUGCACACCUACACGGGAAAAACUCGGGAACUUGCUAGAGACAUUUCAAGUGAUCAUGUAAUGCUUUUCUCAUGCUGAGAUUGUAGGCCAAUCAAUAAGCAACUGAAAAACAGAAGUUCUUCAUCACAUGUUAGUUUUGAUCCAUUUCUUAAAAUCCUAUGCGUGGUACAAGAAAAACAUUUCUUUAGCAGCAAAGAAAAAAGAAGAGUGAAGUACUGAACAACAAUGUGAAAAGUUGGGACAUAGAAAACAAGAUAUUUUUUUGUGUAUUAUAACUGUGUGGAUGUAAAUAAGAUAAUUUUUAUGUAUGAUUUGUUCUUUAUAGAACAUAGGAUGUCAAUAGAUUUUGAUAUGGAUGUAAAUAAAUUUUUACAAGUCCCACACAUAACACAUUUAACAAAGUUUUAAAACCCACGGCAUCACGUGGGCUCUUUUA